CCAAGCCGUGUCUGGGAGCGCUGGCGGGGCAUGCGCUGUAGGUACGGUGUGUGUCCUACCACAGUGGGGGGCGGAAGUGAGGGCACGGUCGUCAUCCAAGAGACAGAGCGUGUUUGAGAUGGGCUGUGAGGAAACAAAGGUUGGCUUCCAGCUGGAAGAACAUGGAGCAGGUGCUGCAGGCUGUUCUCUGUAGAGACUCUUUGGAGGAGCAACAUUCUUCCUGUAAUUGUUUCCUCCUGGCAAAGAAGAGCUUCGAGAAAGCGGAAAGUCAGCUCUUCCCUGUGGCUGCCUCUGCCCGAGCCCCCGCAUAGCCUCCCACCUGCGCUUGAUUGGCACUUUGAUGCCCACUGGCUUCUGCUACACCAUGAUUGCACUUCACUCAGGUUCAUGGUGUCUGAUGGAGGGAGAGAGCUAAUUCACGCAGACUCUAUUGAUUUUUGCCUUCUCCGUUCUUCUUACUUCCUCUUUCCCUAGAGGGACAGUUAGGAAAUAGCUAACAAUCCUUGAAGCCAAACUGAGUUUCUGAAUUCAUCGCAUUCUUAAAAUAGUGGACAAGAAAUAAGAAAUCGGGCCUCGGAAAUACCACGCAGAAGCAAAUUAUGUUCCUGUCUGAUGGUGAGACAGCCCUGCAAAUCCACAGCUUCAGGGAUGACAUAUGCUGAGAAAGGAUAUUCCUUGAUGUUAAGAAAAUAAUGGGCUGGCUUGUACAAGAAUGGAAGAUGAAACUGCUCAUGAAUGGAAGAGGCCAUCAGCGGCACGGUGGGACUGGGACAUGAAGGAUUUGUAAAUGGGCAGACGACCAAAUGAGUUUGUACAAGAGGGUUGUAUCAGUAGUUGAACACUGGACAGGUAUUAAGUGCAUUCACACUGUGGCAGUCAUCACUACCAUUCAGCUCCAGAACCUGCUCAUUAUCCUAAACUGAGACUCAGCAUUCACUCAACACGAACCCCUCACUCUGACUGACACUUAGCCUCCGCUCACCACUCUUCCACUGUCUCCAUGGAUUCGACUACUCUAGGUACAAUAUUUGUCCUUUUGGGUCCAGCUUGUUUAACGUAGCAUGUCUUCAGGGUUCAUCUGUGUUGUAGCAUGUAUCCAAAUUUCAUUCUUUUUUGAGGCUGAAUAAUAUUCUCAGUAUAUACCACAUUCUGCUUAUCCAGUAUUCUGACAAUGGCCUUUUUUAUUUGUUUCCACCUUUUGGCUAUUGUGAAUAAUGCUGCUAUGAGCGUUGGUGUUUAAAUUUCUGUUUGAGUCAGCUGCUUUCUGUUCUUUGGGGUACACACCUGGAAGUGGGGGUGUUGGAUCAUAUGGUAACUUUGUGUUUAAUUUUGAGGGGAAUAGCCAUAUUCUCUUCCACAGUGGUGGAACCAUUUUAUUAUUGCCACCCACAAUGCACAGUUUCCAGUUUCUCCACAUUCUUGCCAAUAUUUACUUUCUGGGGUUUUUUUUGGAGGUAGAGGGAUGGAUAAUAGCAAUUCUAAUUAGUGUGACCUCGUAUCUUAUUGUGAUUUUGAUUUGUAUUUCCUUAAUGAUCAGUGUUGUUGAACAUAUCUGUUCAUGUACUUAUUGGCCAUUUGUAUGUCUUUUUUGGACAAUUGUCUAUUCAAGUCACAUCUUGACCAUCACUUCUUUCUUGAAACUCUUGUCCGCCAACGCCCUGUUUUCCUCUGGCUCUCCCCUCCAUCUCUCUGCUCACCUUUUAAUCUCUUUUUCUUCUCUAAUCUUCUCAUUUUAUUGUGGUCCAGGUCCCUAGAGUUAGGGAACUUCCCUGUACUAAUUUUGCUCAUGCCACUUCAGGAAAUUUAAUGGCUGGUGUGAGAUUCAAGAGAUAGAUUCCCAAUGAAGGAAUCAAUUACUCUAUUAAUAUAUUACAAAUAAAUGAAUAAAAUGAAACAAAAAAGUAGAGUUAAAAUGAGAAUAAAAGAAGAAAAACUGAAUACCAAGAAAUACUGAGGUAAUCACAAGAGUCAGGAAAGGCAAAAAAGAAGGAGGAGGGGAGGGAGGAACAGGAGGAGGAAGAGAAGAG